GUGGGAGCCCCAACCUGCGGGCAGUGCCUGGGUCUAGAAGCAGGGUGUCGCCAGCCCCCAGAGCCUGGUGACUCUUGAGUUUUCAGCCCGUCCUCCUGCAUCAGGAGGACAAGCUGCCUCAUUUCAGAGGCCUCCCAACUUUUUCCUUGUUGAAUCCCGUCCUCCUUGUUCAAUCCCUUCAAUGGUGGGCCUUCCCCAAAGUGAGGAUAGCUAGAUGUUAGUUGCAUCUCCCAAAGCUGAGUCUCCCGUGCAGUCCUCCCCUGGCUCAUCCUCUGUCCUCGAAGCGCCUCUUUUUGCCCCCUUUGCCAUCAUUUAGCGGGGAUUGGGGACCCAGUGUUCACUCCACUGUGUGGAUCAACUGCAAGGGCAUUAUUGAUUCAUUUUUGUAAAGUCCCAAAACCCAGCACAACACUGGUACGUGGCAGGUGCCGCCUGGAUAAACGAAUGAGUGAAAGGCAAAAGGACAGGGUCCUCUGCCCUCAAAAACCUCACAGCACAGCUGGGCGGAGGAUGCAGGUUGGAGGGAGGAGGAAGUCGAUAGAUCCGUGCCUUAGCGCUCAGAGUGGGGCUGAUUGUGCAAGCGGCCGUGCAGCCCACAGGCCAUGGAAAUUCGGGGCGGCCGCCGCGAGUACGUCACCCGCCCCAGGGGGGAGGACAGAGGCGCCGUGACAAGAGGCUGGAGGGAGUGGCCACCCAAGGCCAUCCGGGCAGCCAAGCUCCAGGCACAGGCAAGGCAGCCAGGAGGUCCAACUCAAGGCUGACGAUCCGGCCCUGCCCCACGCGGGGCCCCACCGCAGCCUGGGUGCACGGAGAAGAUGGGGUGCCCCCCACAUGAGAGAUGCAAAAACUGAGGCUUGGUGAGGUUGAGAUGCUCGUCCCAGGUCACAUCACCAGGAAAUGGCAGAGCUGAGACUGGAACCCAGGUGUGUGCACCUCACUAUCCACGCUCCUCACCAGCCCUCCAUCCCCUGCAGCACAGGCCGCAGGUUCAAGUCUGGCUAUUCCACUGACCGUUAUGUGACUCUGGGCAAGACCUUUCAUCUCUUUGCAGCCUUGCUUUGUCUCUCCUCCGCUGUAAAAUGAAAAGAUGAUAGCUGGUGGCCUCUGAGGGCCCCUCCAGCUCGGAUGUUCUGAGAUUUCACUUCUGUCCGGAAAGCGUUGCUCUGACCAGCAGAACCAACGAAGCUGUGAAAAUUAAAGGCACAAACGGUGGGGUCACCCUCUGGGGGGCUGCUCUGGGGCAGCCCCUCCCCGCGCCACUCCUCUCAUGCCCAGACAGCCGGCCGCAGCCUGUGCCCUCCAGGAGGGCCGCCCUCCACUCUAGGAACAGCGGCAGAAUCUCUGGGGCUCAGGGCACGGCAGGCGCCUUCCUCUGGUGGCCUUUGAUGUCGGCCUCCAGGGAGACCUCAUGCAAGUUAAGGCCAGAGGAGUCAGACCCCAGAGUCCUGACAUGUAACUGGAAUCUCGAUCCUCGUCACACACUGGCUCUUUCUUGGAUUAACAGCCCAUGAGCAUCCACCCUCCUGAGUGCUGUCUGGGGAAGCAGUCCUCGCUGAGCCCUCGCCAAACGCUAGCUGGGGACGUAACCAGCCCCGUGCCGCAUGCCCUGCCUGUGUCCCCGCAUAGGGACCCAGCCACACCUCCCUCCUGCCUCCUCCCCAGCCCAGACCCGGCCCCAGACUGGCCUGGGGGAGUGGGGGCUCACUCGGGCAUCUGGCCUCUCCUUGAUGUAGGGGUAUCCUUGCCUUAGUGGGUGUGACCGUGGGGCUGAUUGAUGAAUAAGCUAGUGGCUGAGAGCGGGCCCUGUGUGCAAACCCCAGCUGUACCACUCACGCGGCCUCUCUGGGCCGCUGUUUCUCAGCUGUGACCGAGGGUAUAAUGGCCCCAACCCCGCCCUGGAUGUGAGGGUGAGAUGAGGAAAUGUGUGCAUGUGAAGAGCAGGUGCCCCCGACAGCUUGCUGCUGGGGGGUGGCCACACUGGGGGCUCCCUAGCACUCCCCCACCCCUGACCCCAUGCUCUCGCCUCCCCUGACGUUCCUCCUGGGACUGCCGGGUGGCAUCCCUGGGUGACCUUGUCAGUGGAGCCCAGCCGACUGACAGAGGAUUUGGCGCCUGCCCUGCUGGGUGCAGUCUCCUCAAAGUUUCAAGUUCCCUGGGGGGUGGAGGCUGAGGAAGGUCAGUCGUGGCCCCUGCAGCCCCGGAGGUCAUAGCUCGUCAGCCGUUUGGGAUCCCAGCGAAGCCCAGGCCUCCCGUGAUGCUGAGUCUGGGAUGGGAUCCAGGAUACAAGUUCCCUCCCAGGUGGGGUCAGGGUGGGAGGCAAGGCAGUCAGGCCAGUACAGGCCCAAUUCGGGGGCAGUUGCCAGCCGCCCAGCUUCCCAAGACCGUGAGAAGCUGCCAGCGACCAGCACCGUCUUUGGGGGCAGCAGCUGAUGGACAAGGUGGCCAAAUACCAGAGGGCUUGGGCGGCUUGGGGAGAGUCUGGGAGACUUGGGGGGGCAGGCAAGCUAGAGCCACACGCCAGCCUCGAAGGAAGCCCAGGGCCGCUGUGCCCAGGACCUUCCUCUCUGGUUCCCUUUGGGGCUCCCGGGGCCUCUGUGGGGUCCCUCAGGGCCCAAGUCUCUGGGCAAAAUCCAUUCCCCUGCCCUCUGCAGAGAACCUGAUUAGGCCUGCUAAUCAGGACGUUCCUGUUGAGCCCAGAAU
ensembl:lncRNA